GCAGACGGCGGAGAGCAGAGAGGGAGCGCGCCUUGGCUCGCUGGCCUUGGCGGCGGCUCCUCAGGAGAGCUGGGGCGCCCACGAGAGGAUCCCUCACCCGGGUCUCUCCUCAGGGAUGACAUCAUCCGUCCACCUCCUUGUCUUCAAGGACCACCUCCUCUCCAUGCUGAGCUGCUGCCAAGGGGCCUGCUGCCCAUCUACACCUCACGAGGGCACUAGGAGCACGGUUUCCUGGAUCCCACCAACAUACAAAGCAGCCACUCACUGACCCCCAGGACCAGGAUGGCAAAGGAUGAAGAGGACCGGAACUGACCAGCCAGCUGUCCCUCUUACCUAAAGACUUAAACCAAUGCCCUAGUGAGGGGGCAUUGGGCAUUAAGCCCUGACCUUUGCUAUGCUCAUACUUUGACUCUAUGAGUACUUUCCUAUAAGUCUUUGCUUGUGUUCACCUGCUAGCAAACUGGAGUGUUUCCCUCCCCAAGGGGGUGUCAGUCUUUGUCGACUGACUCUGUCAUCACCCUUAUGAUGUCCUGAAUGGAAGGAUCCCUUUGGGAAAUUCUCAGGAGGGGGACCUGGGCCAAGGGCUUGGCCAGCAUCCUGCUGGCAACUCCAAGGCCCUGGGUGGGCUUCUGGAAUGAGCAUGCUACUGAAUCACCAAAGGCACGCCCGACCUCUCUGAAGAUCUUCCUAUCCUUUUCUGGGGGAAUGGGGUCGAUGAGAGCAACCUCCUAGGGUUGUUGUGAGAAUUAAAUGAGAUAAAAGAGGCCUCAGGCAGGAUCUGGCAUAGAGGAGGUGAUCAGCAAAUGUUUGUUGAAAAGGUUUGACAGGUCAGUCCCUUCCCACCCCUCUUGCUUGUCUUACUUGUCUUAUUUAUUCUCCAACAGCACUCCAGGCAGCCCUUGUCCACGGGCUCUCCUUGCAUCAGCCAAGCUUCUUGAAAGGCCUGUCUACACUUGCUGUCUUCCUUCCUCACCUCCAAUUUCCUCUUCAACCCACUGCUUCCUGACUCGCUCUACUCCGUGGAAGCACGCUCACAAAGGUUCCCAGUGCCCCCGACAAGCCCCUGCUGGUGUCUCCAUCUCCUGCCAAGCAUCCUCCAGUGCCUCCUCCUGUGGGCCUGGCCUCAGGGCUAUGGACAGACUCCUGUCCCAUCCCAGAGACCCCUCGUGAUCGUGCCCUGUAGUCACCCCACUCCACCGAAAAGUAAACUGCAGGCACGUGGGCCGUGGCCCGGCUGGGUCGGCUGAAGAACUGCGGAUGGAAGCUGCGGAAGAGGCCCUGAUGGGGCCCACCAUCCCGGACCCAAGUCUUCUUCCUGGCGGGCCUCUCGUCUCCUUCCUGGUUUGGGCGGAAGCCAUCACCUGGAUGCCUACGUGGGAAGGGACCUCGAAUGUGGGACCCCAGCCCCUCUCCAGCUCGAAAUCCCUCCACAGCCACGGGGACACCCUGCACCUAUUCCCACGGGACAGGCUGGACCCAGAGACUCUGGACCCGGGGCCUCCCCUUGAGUAGAGACCCGCCCUCUGACUGAUGGACGCCGCUGACCUGGGGUCAGACCCGUGGGCUGGACCCCUGCCCACCCCGCAGGAACCCUGAGGCCUAGGGGAGCUGUUGAGCCUUCAGUGUCUGCAUGUGGGAAGUGGGCUCCUUCACCUACCUCACAGGGCUGUUGUGAGGGGCGCUGUGAUGCGGUUCCAAAGCACAGGGCUUGGCGCACCCCACUGUGCUCUCAAUAAAUGUGUUUCCUGUCUUAACAAAAA
ensembl:lncRNA MEG3 maternally expressed 3